AGGAGAACAAGGAACAAGACAUAAGACAAUUUCUGAGAUCUGCAGUAGAUUAAUGCACAUUUCAUUUUAUAACAAAGCUAACCAAAAGUUUUCUCCAAAAUUAAAUAUCUGAUUUUAUUUUCAAAAGACAACGUAUAUUUCUUCUUGAUCAACAUGUGGCUUCACUAGCUAUAGACCUUGAAAUGCAAAUCUCUGUUAUUCAGCAUAUUCAAAGAAGAUAAUCAAGAUUUGUCUGCACAGUUCUAAAGAAGAUGGCAAGAGAUAAAGAGAGGACCGAUGACACGGCACACCCAGAUGUCCUUG